UUGAACGCUGGCGGCAUGCCUUACACAUGCAAGUCGAGCGGCAGCGCGGGGGCAACCCUGGCGGCGAGCGGCGGACGGGUGAGUAAUACAUCGGAACGUGUCCUUUCGUGGGGGAUAACCAGUCGAAAGACUGGCUAAUACCGCAUGAGAUCUCACGAUGAAAGCGGGGGACCGCAAGGCCUCGCGCGAUUGGAGCGGCCGAUGUCGGAUUAGCUAGUUGGCGGGGUAAAAGCCCACCAAGGCGACGAUCCGUAGCUGGUUUGAGAGAACGACCAGCCACACUGGGACUGAGACACGGCCCAGACUCCUACGGGAGGCAGCAGUGGGGAAUUUUGGACAAUGGGCGCAAGCCUGAUCCAGCCAUGCCGCGUGUGUGAAGAAGGCCUUCGGGUUGUAAAGCACUUUCGGCCGGAACGAAAUCGCGCGGGUGAACAUCCCGCGUGGAUGACGGUACCGGAAGAAGAAGCACCGGCUAACUACGU
rnacentral:rRNA from 1 species